UAAGUUUCUUUCAAAUUUAGGAACAUACCUCAUCUAACAAUUUCACACGGUCACCAUGCAACUUGAUCUUCACUUUUCCAACACUUUCAACUUUCAUUUUCUUUCUAUUGGUUAGCUUCACCUUCUCUCAUUUUUUCUCCUUAAUCAAAUUGAACUACACUUUUUUUGAGCAAAUGUGAAAUGGGCAAGCAGAAUCUAUUAACUACUUAUCUUGCAAUGGAUCUUUUGCCUUUUUUCUUAUCAUCAUCCGCAUUCAAACAUUUACCUUUA
rnacentral:misc_RNA from 1 species